CACCUGUUCUUCUCCGUCUACUGUUUCGCUUUUAAUAGGUCUUAAAAUAAAGCAUUGACGUCAAGCGCGCCGCUGUAAAUAAAAGCAUGAGCAUGCUGUUCAGUGAUCGUUUUAUGUUGUUUGUCACCUUUUCAUAAAGGUUGACACUUGAGCCAAAAUCGAAACCGAAAACCGAAAACCGAAAUCUGAUUCGUCGCACAGCCUUACUUCCACGUCACGUUGAAUCUAUGUACAUUUCCCCAGAAACCUCGCAGGACAGCUCUAGUUUUUCAACAAGGUGUUGUUGUUACAAUGUCAGCAGCAGCAGGUAGACAUAGCCCACUAUUUGAUCGUCCUGACACGAGUGAUCUUAGGAUUGUUCUGAUAGGAAAGAAUGGAUCAGAAAACAGACGAGUGGGAAACACUAUACUGGGCAGAGCAGCGUUUGACAGUGAAGCUCCAUAUUAUUUACGGCAGUCCAGUGACAGAAUCAGUGGAGAAGUGGAGGAGAAAAUCAUCACAGUCUUCAAUCCUCACCUGCUCCAGCCAAAUUUCCCACAGGGAAUGAUAACAGAUGGAGUGAGAGAGUGUGUGUCUCUGUCUGCUCCAGGACCUCAUGUGUUUGUCCUCGUACUGCAGCAUAGUAACUUCAAUGAGAACGACAGACACAGAGUGGAAUAUGUGCUGAACCUCUUCAGUUACCAGGCCAUGAAACACACUAUAGUGCUGACUACUGAUGAUGAGCCACGUGGAUCAACAUUUGCAUCUAAAAAUAACUCUAUUCUUGGUUUAUUAAAGGAGUGUGGAGGAGGACAUCUGAAGUUUAAUACAAUAAGCACAGGAUGGCGCUUUGAGAUGUUCAGAAGGACAAAAGAGAUACUCAAGAAAGAAUGUAAAGAAUUUCUCAUUUGUGAUGUGUAUGAGGAUGAAGGUGAUGGAACAUCAGUGGAUGAAGAUCUGAGCAGAUCUGGAGGUUCAGUCAGAGGAGACAAGAAAGAGAAGAAGAAUUCUGAUCUCAAAGAGAACACAAAAAUAGGAUGUGAUGGAGGAGUGACGACUACUGGAAAAGCAAAGCUGAACAUUGUGCUGUGUGGAAAUGAUUCAACACUCAAGAACUCAGUGUCUAAAAUAUUUAGAGGCAAAACGAAUGAACCUCAGGAAGAGAUGAGUAAAGCAUGUCAGAAGAGAGAGGGAACGAUUCAUGGACGGCAGAUCAGUGUAAUAGAGCUUCCAGCUCUCACUCGACUCUCAGAGGAGGAAGUGAUGCGGGAGAUUUUACACUGUUUGUCUCUCUGUGAUCCUGGAGUUCAUCUUUUCAUCCUCGUUACUCCUGUUACUCCACUUACUAAUGAAGAAAGAGCAGAAAUGGCGAAGGUUAAAGAAAUAUUUUACUCACAAGAGCACUUCAUGGUGCUUUUCAUUACUGAUCUCACUGUUGACAAAAGUGUGUCAGAUUUUGUAGAAUCCACAGAAUCUCAGAGUGUUGUGAGUCUCUAUGGGAGUUGGUACUUUGUGAUGGGGUUACAGGACCAGAAGAACACUGAAAAGAUCUUAAAGAUUCUAGAUGUUAUAAACAGCAUGAAGACUGAACCCUAUUCUCUUCAGACGUAUAUAAGAGCUCCAGAGCAGAGAGUCAGACAUGAACUAGAGAAGAAACUAAGAGUGAGAGACAAUGAAAUCAAAGAGGAGAAGAUCAAGACACUGGAGAGUGUGAAGCUGAAUCUGGUUGUUUGUGGGAGUAAGAGAGAAUUAAGAUCUUUCAUAUCAAACCUGAUCCUGAAUCAGAGCGAGAGAAGAUCAGAGCUCAGCUCAGAGUGUGUGAGGAGAGACGUGGAGCUUCAUGGACGUCUGAUCAGUCUGGUGGAGCUUCCAGCUCUGUUCAACACUCAGCUCUCAGAGGAGGAAGUGAUGCGUCAGACUCACCGCUGUGUGUCUCUCUGUCAUCCUGGAGUUCAUGUUUUCAUCAUCAUCAUUCCUGAUGCUCCACUUAAUAAUGAAGACAAAGCAGAAAUAGAGGAGAUCCAGAGGAUAUUCAGCUCAAGAAUCAACAAACACAUCAUGAUCCUCAUAAAGCAGAAUUCAGAGCAUCAGACAGAAAAACUAAAUGAAGAAACACAGUCUGUCAUUCAGAGUUUUGGAGGACGACAUCAUUUCAUUGACCUGAACACACAAGUGUCUGUGUUAAUGGAGAAACUGGAGAAGAUGGUUGAGGAAAAUAAUGGUGUUUGUUUCUCCACAGAGACAUUGGUGGAGGCACAGAUGGAAAAACUGCUGACAUUUUAAGAAAUGAAGAGGAAAGUAUAUUCAUUGGAGAAAUUUUUCUUGUCACAAUGCCUCUGCAGGCAUUAAACACUUUUUAUGGUUAAAGUAUACACAGAGUGGCAACAGCUGGCUGCAGUACAUAUGAGAUGUCGAGAACUGAAGGAUUGAAAUGUAAAAGCAAGAUGGCAGAGAUGGCGUUUUUAUUACUCAAUAGG